rnacentral:ncRNA from 1 species
UAAAAGUUAACAUAGGUCACUUAUAUAAGCUCAUAAUGAGGUUGAGCGUUUCUACCAGCUACCGUAAAUAGUUGAUUAUAAGUAUAUUUAGAGAUAGG